GAAGCUUACACCACAGAUUUCUUCCCAUAAUCUCAAAAUCUCUGCGGGGCUGUUCGCACUAAUGGCCUCUUCUCGUUCUCUUCUAUUUUCUUCUUCCUUCCUCUCCAAGCCCUCUUCCUUCACUUCUUCUCUGAGACGCUUUGUUUACGUUCCGUCUCAGACGCCUAGAUUCUGGCCAAGGCGACAUGGUUUCUCCACCGUAUUCGCCGUCGCCACCGAGCCGGCUAUCUCCCGCGUCGGAACUAAGAAAACGGAGCCGUCGACGGUCUCGCUUCCCAGCAACGACUCAUCCGAAAAGCUGCUGAAAAUUCGUCACACAUGUGCACAUGUAAUGGCCAUGGCAGUUCAGAAACUCUUCCCGAAUGCCAAAGUGACAAUAGGGCCCUGGAUUGAUAACGGUUUCUACUAUGAUUUCGAUAUGGAGCCUCUAACAGAUAAAGACCUCAAAAGAAUCAAGAAAGAGAUGGAUCGUAUCAUUAGUCGGAAUUUACCACUUUUACGAGAAGAAGUCUCAAGGGAAGAAGCGCGGCAAAGAAUCAUGGCGAUCAACGAGCCUUAUAAGAUGGAGAUUUUAGAUAGUAUCAAGGAAGAACCCAUCACUGUUUAUCAUAUCGGUAAUGAAUGGUGGGAUCUUUGUGCGGGACCUCAUGUCGAGACCACAGGGAAGAUAAACAAGAAAGCUGUUGAACUAGAAUCUGUUGCUGGUGCAUACUGGAGAGGAGAUGAAAAGAGGCAAAUGCUUCAGAGGAUCUACGGAACAGCUUGGGAGAACGAAGAACAACUAAAAGCUUAUCUCCAUUUUAAAGAAGAAGCUAAACGGCGAGACCAUAGACGCAUUGGCCAAGACCUCGAUCUGUUUUCCAUCCAGGAUGAAGCUGGGGGAGGAUUAGUGUUUUGGCAUCCAAAAGGUGCGAUUGUUAGAAACAUAAUCGAAGAAUCGUGGAAGAGGAUGCACGUUGAACAUGGUUAUGAUUUGAUCUAUACACCUCAUGUCGCAAAAGCUGAUCUGUGGAAGAUCAGUGGUCACUUGGACUUCUACAGAGAGAAUAUGUAUGAUCAAAUGGAGAUUGAGGACGAGCUUUAUCAACUCCGACCCAUGAAUUGCCCAUACCACAUCUUGCUCUACCAAAGAAAACGUCAAUCAUAUCGAGAUUUGCCCAUAAGAGUUGCAGAACUCGGUACAGUGUACAGAUACGAGUUGUCUGGUAGCUUACACGGCCUCUUCCGUGUCAGAGGAUUCACACAGGACGAUGCACAUAUAUUUUGUUUAGAGGAUCAGAUCAAAGAUGAGAUCAGAGGUGUUCUAGAUCUCACAGAAGAGAUAUUGUCACGGUUUGGGUUCGAAAAGUAUGAGGUUAACUUAUCAACAAGGCCUGAAAAAUCAGUUGGAAGUGAUGAUAUAUGGGAAAAGGCAACGUUUGCCCUUAAAGAGGCUUUAGAUGAUAAAGGAUGGAGCUAUGAGGUUGAUGAAGGAGGUGGUGCCUUUUAUGGCCCAAAGAUCGAUCUUAAGAUCGAAGAUGCAUUGGGAAGAAAAUGGCAAUGCUCAACCAUACAGGUCGACUUUAAUCUUCCUCAGAGGUUUGACAUUACUUAUGUCGACACAAACUCGGAUAAAAAACGUCCUAUAAUGAUCCACAGGGCGGUUUUGGGGUCAUUAGAAAGAUUUUUCGGGGUUCUUAUAGAGCAUUACGCUGGAGACUUCCCGAUAUGGCUCUCUCCUGUUCAAGUCCGGGUUUUGCCCGUCACAGACAAUCAGUUGGAGUUCUGCAAGGAAGUGAGUAAGAAGCUAAGAGCUUGUGGAGUGAGAGUUGAGUUGUGCCAUGGAGAGAGGUUGCCGAAGCUCAUAAGGAACGCAGAGACACAGAAAAUCCCGUUAAUGGCGGUUGUGGGCCCUAAGGAAGUCGAGACCGGGACUGUUACGGUUAGAUCGAGGUUUGGAGGAGAGCUUGGAACCAUUCUUGUUGAUGACUUCAUCAACAAAGUCAACAUUGCAGUUGAAACAAGAACUUCUCUGUAAAGCUUUACUGAAGAACCAAAGGAGUUACAUAAUCAUAUUGCUGCAGUUUUGAGAAUGGAAACCAAUGUUUUUUGCAAAGUAAAAAGAUGGUUGGAAGUUUGGUUAUGCUUGUCUGUGGUUCGUGGGAAAAGAUCGGAGGUUGGUGCUUGGAGUUUUAAGGUCGACAGUGAAGGAGAAAGCUUCUGCAUGAUGGUCUCUGAGAACGCGAGCUUCGACGGGCUUCUGAACAGUGUGAGAGUACGAUGCAAUGUUGACUCCGCCACAGAGGUUGCAUUAAGCUACCAAUCCCCGACUGGAUGUUGGUACCCACCGGACCACCGACUCCACCGAUCGAUGUGUUGAACAACGCAGACAUGGAGGUUUUCAUGGCUGUUCGUAGGUUCCCGAGCUACCGAUGUGUGUGACGGUUGGAAUUGAUGCUGUUAACCGUUACAAGUUCCAGAAACGUGCUACGUACGAUGUUGGAGGACCAUCUAAUCCGGUAGCUGUGCAACCGUCUCCAAUACAGUUCGGGAGUUUCAACUACCGUGGGUUCUUUUCGAGAGAUGUGUUUCAGUGCAGCCAGAGUGUGUUGGAAGAGAUAUGCACGCCAGAUGAGCUAAGACUCUUACAAAGAAGUCUGCAGAACUGGAAGCCCAGUUAAUGGCGGCCCAUCAGCAAUCCAUACCGAACCAAGUUGUCCAGCUGAGUGACAACCAGUCAUCGGCGGGGUCCAGCAACAAUCCUGGCAAGGGAGAUGAACAAAACGAAGAAAUCAUAAGGCUUACUAAACAACCAACAUGGGUCCAGAAAGCUUCGACGAUGCACUAGCCAAUCUAGCCUUAAUGACACCAGUGAAAGUUGUUGGAAGAGGAGAAGUUGGUGACGUGACGCCACACACUCUGAAGUUUAGUGAAGAGAAAGGAAAAGGGAAGGCAAAAGAGAACAGCUUAGAGAGUGGGUCUCAUCUGGCUUUGAUGUUAGCUUGUCCAUCAGGGUCAGAGAACAAUGACCCCAUAGCUGAAGACACCGAAGAGGAAGAGUUGAUAGGCGAUGUUUUCGUCAGUAAAAAAGUUGAUACCGGAUAUUUAUAAUAAUAGCGUUUAUAGCAUAAGGUGAAACAGACAAGUUAAUAGGGAAAAAAUAUGGACGAGAUCAUUUUAAGGAAGAUCAGAUAACGGAACGUAGUAGAUUGAAGGAAAUUACACCUAAAUGUAAAUUAAAAGUUGCUGAAAAUUAAGAAGGAUGUUUAAUAUACAUCAAUGGAAAAUAGCGAGAAUAUGUAAAUCAUAUGCUAACGAGU